AUUGAACGCUGGCGGCAGGCCUAACACAUGCCAGUCGAGCGGAUGAAGGGAGCUUGCUCCUGGAUUCAGCGGCGGACGGGUGAGUAAUGCCUAGGAAUCUGCCUGGUAGUGGGGGAUAACGUCCGGAAACGGGCGCUAAUACCGCAUACGUCCUGAGGGAGAAAGUGGGGGAUCUUCGGACCUCACGCUAUCAGAUGAGCCUAGGUCGGAUUAGCUAGUUGGUGGGGUAAAGGCCUACCAAGGCGACGAUCCGUAACUGGUCUGAGAGGAUGAUCAGUCACACUGGAACUGAGACACGGUCCAGACUCCUACGGGAGGCAGCAGUGGGGAAUAUUGGACAAUGGGCGAAAGCGUGAUCCAGCCAUGCCGCGUGUGUGAAGAAGGUCUUCGGAUUGUAAAGCACUUUAAGUUGGGAGGAAGGGCAGUAAGUUAAUACCUUGCUGUUUUGACGUUACCAACAGAAUAAGCACCGGCUAACUUCGUG
rnacentral:rRNA from 1 species